rnacentral:rRNA from 1 species
AGGAUGAACGCUAGCUACAGGCUUAACACAUGCAAGGUCGAGGGGCAGCAUGAUCUUAGCUUGCUAAGAUUGAUGGCGACCGGCGCACGGGUGAGUAACGCGUAUCCAACCUUCCCUAUAGUAGAGGAUUAGCCCGGCGAAAGUCGGAUUAAUACUCUAUGUUAUUCAAUGCGGACAUCUAAGUUGAAUCAAAGGUUUACCGCUAUAGGAUGGGGGAUGCGUCUGAUUAGGUUGUUGGCGGGGUAACGGCCCACCAAGCCUUCGAUCAGUAGGGGUUCUGAGAGGAAGGUCCCCCACAUUGGAACUGAGACACGGUCCAAACUCCUACGGGAGGCAGCAGUGAGGAAUAUUGGUCAAUGGGCGAGAGCCUGAACCAGCCAAGUAGCGUGCAGGAAGACGGCCCUAUGGGUUGUAAACUGCUUUUAUACAGGGAUAAAGUGUGCCACGUGUGGCGUUUUGUAGGUACUGUAUGAAUAAGGACCGGCUAAUUCCGUGCCAGCCGCGGC